AUGCCAGAGACAGUCUGAGAUAUAGAGUUUGAACCCCAAGUUAUUGGUUUUAGACCUGAUGAUGGUUCAUGAUACGAAGGGCAGAUACAUCGAAUCUCAGGUCAGCUCUAUUCAGCUGGUGGUGGUUACCCAGCCUGCAGUGUUGAGGAGGAUUCUGAAGCUGUGUCUGGGACAGCAGGAAAGAUUGAUCAGUGACACCUGUCACAGAGCUGCACAGUGGAGGUGUAGCACAAUUUUAACCCUGUUUCUGAAGAUUCGAAGGGAAAGUAUUGGAAAUUACAAAUGGUCAGGAAAAUCAGGGCCAUAAAGAAAGUCAGUCUUUUCUUGGACUUAUGUACAUCAUCUUUAAUCCUCGAAACAACUUUUGUUCCGUUUUUAUAUGAAGACGCUAAAACUCGGACAGGCUAAAUGCAUUUGACUAAGAUUUUUUGCGGUUUGUGAACAGAAUUGUGGAGACACAAAGGGAAGAAGGGAAGCAAGUGAUACAGAAAUGAUGGCCGAUGGCAAGACUCAGAGACCUCAUUGCUUUACCCACAGAAAGUCUUUACACUGGAGGAAUGGAAAUGCUCCCCAUAACAGGCAAGGCCCAGAAGCUUUUUUCCAGAGUGACUUAGUUGCUCGGUUGGAAGCCCAGCAGCAAAAGGUUUUGUGGGAACAUCAGCCUGGUGGGAGAGAAGUAGGCGAGUGGAAGAAGUGGGGACACAGCCAAAUCUUGCAAAUCAUGGAGCCGCGUGAAGGGUCCCCAGGCAGCUUCCUGGGCUAUCGUCUCUUGCCCUCCAGAGAAGAGCCAGGUCCAAAAGGAGGAGAGCAGGCGCUUUCUGGGAAGCUGACCAUGCUCCAUCCCCACCCCAACUAGAGAAAGUGCAGACCAUGGCCCCCUCUCCACCUUAGAGCCCCCAGCCAGGACACGACCUGAUGUUGGAGCAAGACAGAACACUGAAUCAGAGAGGUAAUUCUGUUUUAAAACGAAAAAGACUGAGUUUUCAAAUAACUGAAAGUGUCCAGAAAUUGUGGAGUGUGUCCAGGGUGUCAACAUGGAAGGGAAAAGGGAGAUUUCACAGAACAGGAUGAGAAUGAAAGGAUUUCUUGUUUAUACCCCCUUGAGUUUAAACUUCUCAAGAAACACACACACAUUGACUUAAAUAAUGUAAAAAAUGUGCAUAAAUUCUUAAAAUUUUAUUUAUUUGUGUAUAUGUAUAUAUGCAUUCAUGUAUAUAUAGCAAUGUGUAUCUAUAUACUCGUGCAUGCACACAUUUUUCUGUAGCUUUUCAUCAUAAAAACUUAAAAAAUAUAGACCUGUAGAAAAGAAGAUGAAAAUCAUCCUGUCCUCCAAUAACUGUGUGGCAUUUUAUCAUAUAAAUGCAACAUUUUAAAACCCUUCCCCAUUGAGACACACAGUAGUGACAUCAUUGAAGGCAUUUGGCGCAUAUUAUCCGUCUUCUCUGAGGUCGUAUCCAUUGACAAUGCCUGUUGCCUUGACUGCGUUGAGUGUGAUAAUGGUAUUGAUAGCCUUAUAAAAACUCUUUUCAAUGUGGUAAGUGAAAAACAGAAGCUUAUAAUUUUUUAAAUUUUAUUUCUUUUGCUAUUAGAGAACAUACAUUUCUUAUUAGAAGUGUUCUGCCC
rnacentral:lncRNA from 1 species